GACGAACGCUGGCGGCGUGCUUAACACAUGCAAGUCGAACGAAGAGCGAUGGAAGCUUGCUUCUAUCAAUCUUAGUGGCGAACGGGUGAGUAACGCGUAAUCAACCUGCCCUUCAGAGGGGGACAACAGUUGGAAACGACUGCUAAUACCGCAUACGAUCUAACCUCGGCAUCGAGGAUAGAUGAAAGGUGGCCUCUACAUGUAAGCUAUCACUGAAGGAGGGGAUUGCGUCUGAUUAGCUAGUUGGAGGGGUAACGGCCCACCAAGGCGAUGAUCAGUAGCCGGUCUGAGAGGAGGAACGGCCACAUUGGGACUGAGACACGGCCCAGACUCCUACGGGAGGCAGCAGUGGGGAAUCUUCCGCAAUGGACGAAAGUCUGACGGAGCAACGCCGCGUGAGUGAUGACGGCCUUCGGGUUGUAAAGCUCUGUUAAUCGGGACGAAAGGCCUUCUUGCGAAUAGUUAGAAGGAUUGACGGUACCGGAAUAGAAAGCCACGGCUAACUACGUG
rnacentral:rRNA from 1 species